GUGGGAGGUAAUUAAAUCAUGUGGGCAGGUCUUUCCCUGCUAUUCUCAUGAUAGUAAGUCUCAUGAGAUCUGAUGGUUUUAUAAAGAGGAGUUCCCCUGCACAAGUUCUCUCUCUUUGCCUGCUGCCAUUCAUGUAAGUUGUGACUUGCUCCUCUUUGCCUUCUGUCAUGAUUGUGAGGCUUCCCCAGCCAUGUGGAACUGUAAGUCCAUUAAACCUCCUUCUUUUGUAAAUUGUCCAAUCUUGGGUAUGUCUUUAUCAGCAAUAUGAAAACAGACUAAUACAGAGGGGUAGGUAUUUUUAUUUUUGCCGUUUUUUUUUUUCAGAUGGGAAAACAAAUCUAGAGUGGCUGAGUAAUCUAACCAGGGGAAACUGUUCACAGUGAAGUUACUGAGGUCAUCAGCUGGUGAGUGUGUUUCUGACAUUAAAACUCCAAAGUCUUACUCUGUUGCCCAGGCUGAAGUGCAGAACUCAUUGCAGCCUCAAAUUCUUGGGCUCAAGCGAUCUUCCUGCCUCACCCUCUCAAAUAGCUGGGAUUAUAGGCACACGCCACCAUGCCUGGCUAGUAUUUUUUUGUUUUAUGUUUUUUGUUUCUAAUUUUUAGUAGAGAUGAGGUCUUGCCAUGUUGCCCAGGCUGGUCUUGAACUCCUGAGCUCAAGCAAUCCUCCCUGCUUGGUCUCCCAAAGUGUUGGAAUUACAGGUGUGAGCCAACCCUUCUCUUCCCACUUUAUACAUUUCUGAAUUGAAAAUUCCAGUGAUUUGUCGAAACAAUACCGUUUCCAUUAAUCAUAUUUGUUUUACUAAGCUAAGACAAAUGCAUAAGCCACAUCCCUAAAUCCUAUUUUAACUUUUACACAGUAAUAAAUUUUUCCAUCAUUGUCCCUAACUUAAGCUUCCUAAAUGUCAGCUGAUCUUCACAAUUACCAUAUUUUAUAGAUAAUAAAUUGUGCUCAGAUGGAUCAAAACAGCACAAUUCAACACCACAAGGCAAAGCUAAUUUAUAUUUAAAUUGGGACUCGAACCUGGGUCUGCUGACUACAACCUUUUUGCUGUCUUUAUCCACACAUCAGAUAUUUCUUGAUCAAGGCAAAGCUUAAAUAUAAAACCACUAUGACUUCGAGACCUGAAAGUGUUUUUGUUUUCAGAGAAAUGUUAUUCCUCAGCAUGUGUCAAAGAUAUGGUUAUGAGAAAGACAAAACUUUAUAGUUUUCAGUUAUAUUUUGCCUUGUCCCUUCAAUUUUACCCCAAUAGAUAGUAAUAGCAAGACUGUCCCGUUCAUCCGUGGACAGUGCCAUUAUUAGAUACUGGGAAUCCUCGUUAUAAAUUACAUCAUACCACUUUCACCUUGUUUAUCAGACUCCUGCCUCACUGAUACUUGUUGUUUCUUAAAUUCCCAAGCUCAUGGUAGUAGGUCCUUUGCAUGACCUUUUCCCUCUUCUUGGUGUUCUAAAUCCAUAUUAUUGCAUGAUUGGCACUGUUCAUACAAGUCUUAGCCCAAAUGUCAUUUCUCAAAGACAUCUUCUCUGACCCCUAAUCUAAAGUCCCAUCUCUUUUUCUAUCACAAUUAUACCACCUAGUUUUGCUAUUUUCAUAACAGUUAGAGGUAUUUGAGAUUAUUCUUAUGUAUUUUUUAUUCUCUCCUCCCCACAGCAAUCCCUGCUUCCUGUCUGCUCAAUGCUCUACGCUCAGAAUUUAGAACAGCACCUGGCAUAUGAAAGGCACAUUGCUUUCAUGACGGAGAUCUGAGGAUCCUUCUAAGAAAUUGUUUAUCCCCAGAGAAAAGACCUGAAGAUACUCACAUUUGUCAGCCACAGUAAAAGGAAGAGCUUACCACUCAAUCUCCUCUGCAAUAAAGCUCCCUAGCUGUUAAAUUUCACUCACAUACUCAAGGCUUCCAAUCAACUUUUUAAUAUCUCACACUUAAAAACUAAAUUGAGGAUGUCUUGAAUCUCCAGACAUUUCAGAAGUCUUUUUUUUUACAUGAACUAGAGAAACCAAAACAAAUAAUCAAAAUAAAUAAAUGAAUAAUGAGGCAGAAGAUAUAGAGAUUUAUAUACGCAUUGAAGGGAAACUGUAAGAAAAAAACCAAACAUAGCUAACAUCUUCAGAGACAGUACAGAAUGAACUGCAUCCAAAAGAUAAUGCAAUCAAGAAGAAACCACCAAAGAAAAUGAUAUCAAUAUGCUGAAGAGAUAUCUGUGCUCCCAUGUUUAUUGCAGCACUAUUCACAACAGCCAAGAUAUGGAAUCAAACUAAAUGGCCAUCUAUAGAUAAAUAAAGAAAAUGUGGUAUGUACGCAAUGGAAUACUAUUCAGCCAUAAAACAGAAUGAAAUCCUUUCAUUUGUGGCAACAUGGAUGAACCUGCAGGGUAUUACGUUAAGUGAAAUAAGCCAGGCAGAGUAAGACAAAUACUGCAUGAACUCACUCACAUGUGGAAUCUGAAAAAGUUGAUUUCAUGGAAGUAGAGAGUAGAAAAGUGGUAUUAAGAGACUGGGGAGGGGUAGGGGGAGCAGGGGCCUGGAUAGGUUAGUCAAUGAAUACAAAGUUAUAGUUAGGAAGAAACAUUUCUGUUGUUUCAUUACACAGUAGGGAGAUUACAGCAAAUAACAAUAUAGUGUAUAUCUCAAGAUACCUCGAAGAUUUUAAAUCUUAUCUCCACAAAGAAAUGAUAAAUGCUUAGAGUGAUGGAUAUGGUAAUUACCCCGAUUUGAUCAUUAUACAAUGUAUUCGUGCACUGGAACAUCACUACACACCCCAUAAAAAUACAAUUAUUGUUCGAUUAUAAAUACAACAUUAUUUUAAAAACUAUCAAAAGCAGAAAGAGUUGUACAAAAGUUAAAAUAUAAUGAUCAAUAAAAAAUAAGUUACAGGUAUGAUAUCAAAGAAAUCUCCCAAAAGAGAAAGCAAAAUUCAAAUAGGAGAAACAAAACAAAAUAAAUCAGAGGGGAGAAUGACUAAAAGAAAGAAUGGAGAAAAUGGGAAGAAAAAAUGAUAAACAGAUAACACCAGAGAAUUUCCAGACCUAAAAAUAAAAUUUUCCACAUAGAAAAGAGCUGAGAGUAAAACAAGAAAUUAAAAGGAAAAUCCAGGUUGUGAAAACCAGAUCACAAGAGAUAAAGAGUAGAUCCUACCAAAAGGAUAAAACAAUUUGAAAGAGAGAAAAUAUAUAAAUAUAUAUAUGGAUGUGCAUAUAUAUAAUUUAAAUCAAAGAGCAGAUAACAGAUGAGAUCAGCCCUCUCUAUAACUGAUAGAAGAAACUAGAAUAUUGGCUAUAAAUACUUAAUUAAAAAUUGUUUUCAAUAUAAAAUUUUAUACCCAAUCAAAUUAUUAAGUAUGAGGAUAGAAUAAAAACAUUUUCAAAUAUGCAAAUUUUAUCUAAAGUUUCUCAGAAUGCUUAGAAUAUCUCAGGAAGUUAUCAAACUAAGUCCCAGAAAAAUAAGUAAAUAUACUAAGGGUGAGAAAUGUAUGGGAUCCAGAAAUAGAGGGUUUAACACACAUAAGCUAAGGAACAUCCCUAAAUAACAUCAAUUAGGACACACAGGGAAUAAUUUUAAUUUUUUCCCCCAUGAUGUAUAACAAAGUGCAAUAUCAUGAGUAGGGUAUAAAAUUAUCUACCUCAUCAUUAUCUUUGAAUUAUAUAUUGCCUUUAAAUAUUUUACCAAUUUGAUACUCAAAAAUAGCUCACCAUUGCUUCACUUUGCAUGUCUUCGCAAACUGAGUUUUAAGAGUUUUUGCACAUAAGUUAUUGGCUUUUUUCCAUCUAUUGCUCAAAUAACUUUAAAUAUCUAUCUCUAUUUUAAGCCAGAGCAGCUCAGAGUUGCUUUUAUUGACUUACCACUUGAUAUUAUGUUUGAUAUUAAACCUACACUGAGGGAUGUUGUAAGAGAAAACCCACUGGUGUUACUGUGUUGACUACAAAGCUUUUGUUGAGGAUACAGCUAUUUUAUGACAUCAUACUCUCUGAGUGAGAAGUCAUAGACCUUGAUUCUGAAGCAAUUGCAUUAUUGUUGUCUUAUGAACACUGUUUCAUAUUCGUCUUCUAAUUUUGUUCUUUUUUUGAUAUAUAAAAAAUUAAAGACAAUAUGCAGUCAAAUAUUUGCAAUAUUUUCACUGAUAUUUUUCCAUUUAUUUUAUCUUUACAAAGCUUUCCUUUACCAUUUUCUCUUUUUUUCAGAGAUGCAGAGGUUGUUUAAUAUUAGGAAAUACAUUAAUAUUAUUUUAUGACUCUAAUAGACAAAAGCAGAAAAUCAUAUAUUUUCUAGAUACACUAGUUUAUUUGACUAGACAGAAGCUAAUUUACUAGUAUAAAAUUUUUAAAAUAAAAUUCAACUUUUUUCUUGCCAACAUUUAUUUUAGGUUCAAGGGGUACAUGUGCAGGUUUGUUACAUGUAUAAAUUGCAUGUUGCAUGGGUUUGGUGUAUAGAGAAUUUUGUCACCUAGUUAAUCAUCAUAGGUAGUUUCUAUCCUCACCCUCCUCCUAACCUCCUCUCUCAAAUAGGCCCCAGUGUCUAUUGCUCCCUUCUUUGUGUCCAUGUGUACUUAGUGUUUAGUUCCCACUUCCGAGUGAGAACGGUAUUUGGUUUUCUGCUUCUAUGUUAAUUUGCUUAGGAUAAUGGCCUCCAGCUUCAUCCAUGUUGUUGCAAAGGCCAUGAUUUCACUUUCAUAUGCUGUGUAGUAUUCCAUGGUGUUUAUAUACCGCAUUUUCUUUAUUCAGUCCACUGCUGAUGGGCAUCUAGGCUGGUUCCAUGUCUUUGCUAUUGUGAAUAGUGCUGUGAUGAACACAUGUAUGCAUGUGUCUUUAUGGUGAAAUGAUUUUCAAAUAGGAUAAACAUACACCUAUCUUUUUUCUUUUUUAAUAGUUUAAUUUAGUACAAUUGUUAAAAUUUUAGUCUACUAUUUAUUUUGAUACAUAGUAUGAAGAAAAGUUAAUACUUAGACUUUUUUCUAAAUAAAUAGCUAAUUUAUCCAUUGAUUAUCUGUUUAAUAAAACAUCUUUUGUUUCCCUGACAAUUGGUUUGAGUGUCUUCUUUUAUAUGCGAUAUUCUUGGAAAUACGAAGACUAUUUCAGAGUUCUCUGUUCCAUUGGUUUAAUCUACUGGUUCUUGUGCCAGAAAACAUUGUCUUAGUUAUUAUAAUUUUGAAAUUGGUUUAAAUAAUCUGUUAUGUAUGUCCUUUUUCACCUUUCAUCUAGGUGAAAAAGUUGCUUAGUGAUUUUUUCCUGUUUCCUCUUGCUCUUAAAUUUUAAAGUAAUUUUAUGUGUCUUAGAAAAAAGCUCAUUUCAAUUUUGUAAUUGACUUAAUUUGAAAUAACUGCCAUAUUCAUUUCUAAUUUGAACUAAAUGCCAUAUUAUGAGUCUUUUAUUAUAACUCAAUUUAAUAUAACUCAAUUUGAAAUAAACGCUGUAUUUACUAUGAGUCUUCUACUAUAAGAACAUAUUGUGUUUUGUCAUAUAUUCAAAGCUGCUUCUCUAUGCUGAAGUAGUUAUGUUGUUUCUUUCAGUCCCAUAUAUUAUUUAAGAAUGAGUGUUUUAUACUUCGUUUUUGCUAGUUUGAAUGCUGGUGUAUAGGAAAGCAAUUGUUUGUGUGUCUACUGUACAGUGGAACACUGGGUCCAAGAGUAUAAGCCUUGGAAUCAGUCAGAUCUGACCUCAAGUACCAAUGGACCUCAGGCCUUGGUAUUGUUUUUCUCAUUUAUAAAAUGAUUCUUUGUGAAAGCUGCCUAACUCAGAGCCUGGUACACAAAAUCUCCUUAAUAAAAGGCAGCCGAUAUAAUACCUUAAGCAUCACCAUUAUCAUCUCACUAUCUUAUACUUUAAUUAAUUCUGAGAUUUAAAUUAACUCUUCACAUUUCCUAGGUAUAUGAACAGAGCAUCUCUAUUAACAAUAAUGGUAUUUUCUAGAAUGAUACGUCACUUCUUUCAUGUUACAUGUGUCACACAUAACUUUCACAACAAUAUUAAAUAACAAUGUUCAUGGUAUAUAUCUUUGUCUUGACUUUUAUUUUAAUGGAACUAUUUUUAAUAGUAAACUCACUCAUUAAGUGUGAGUUUGACUUUUGGUUUAUGAUGUAUAUUCUCAAUAUUAAUAUUUAUCAUAAACUACUUUUAGUUUUCUAAGAUUUUAAACAGAAAGUGAUACUGAAAUUUUAGAAUGAGUUUCCAGAUCAUUUCAAAAGAAUUAAGCUUUUUCAUAUUGGAUACAGUUAUAUAGUAUAUUAUGUUAAUAAUGUUCAUAAUAUUAAGCCAUCUUUGCAUUCCUGGAAUAUUCUUCUUUGGUCAGGAUGGCUAUAUCUUUUAAUGUGCUGUUGAAUUUAAUUUCCCAGCAAUUAAUAUAAAAUUAAUUGCUAGUCAAUUUUUUAAAGCAUCAAAUAAAAGUUUUAGAUCAAUUUCAUUUAUGAAUAUAAAUGUAUAUUCAUUAUUCUGCUCCCCCACUCCCAUCCUGCUACUUCAUCAUGAAUUCAUUUUGGGUUGUCUCAUUGUCACCUUCUCUUUCAUAAUUUUGAUUACUCUGUCAUAUUUUUCUACAUUUUCUGGAGAAAUUCCUAUGGCUAUCCUUCACAACACAUUCAAUUUUCCAUGAUCUCAAUUCUGCUCUGUCACAACAGCAAUGUGUAUUUUAUUUGUGCUGCUGUAUUUUUGAUUCUGUAUUGUCUUUCCAUUUCCCACGUAUUUUCCUAUCCAUUCUGUAUCUUCUUGUUUCAACCCAGUGUGAAUUGCCCUGCUUUUUCUGUCUGCUUGUUUGGGAAAAUCCCCUUUUCAGGACUAGAGACACACACAACAUUGAUGCUAACGGGUCUGGAUCAAAGCCAAAUUGGCAGAAUCUAGCAGAUUUUUAUGGGACUCUACAAGACUAAAGGUGGAGGGUUUUAACUUUUCCUCCUUGCCUUGACCUCUAACACUCUGUAUAGAAGGGAUAUAUGUAAACUACAAAAUUCACAGUAAAUAGACAGGAAACUUGAAGUCUCUGAUUCUACUUGAAGAUCAUGGCUUCUGAAAAUUAGACCUCUUAAACAUUAGGCAUUGCUUCCAACAACUGCUUGCUCGCAGAAACGAAGAGAAAUGAAGAGGCUUCCUUCACUGUAGGUUCUAUCCUAUGGCAUCAGAACAAGAGCAAUCCUGCUUGCCUUAAAGUAGGUAUAAAAGUGCCAAGUGCUUCAUUUCUCUAUUUUUAUCUAUUCGUAGUUUAGAAAACAAACACAAAAAAUAAAAUCUGAACCACUUAUUACAGUAUCCUUAUAAUUGCUCUUUGAUGUAUACAAUCAUAUAUACAUACCCUCAGAAAUACCUGGUCAGAAAUUAGGAGUAGUAAAGAAGGACUACUACUGCUGAAUCCCAUCACUCAAAGUUUAAAUCCAUAUGUGAAGUUCACUAAAUGGAAUAUUUGUGAAAAUUUCUUGGCCAUUCUGACAAUUGGCUGAAAGUCAACUUUUUAUUGUUCCUUUAAUUUUUUUUUUUUUUUUUUGAGACAGGGUCUCUUUCUGUUACCCAGGCUGGGGUGCAGUGGCAUAAUCUCAGCUCACCACAACCUUUGCCUCCUAGGCUCAGGCAAUUCUCCCAUCUCAUUAAAUUUUUGUUUAUCCUCUAUGUCUUCAUAUAUUUUAGUGAGACUUUUGGAGAGUCCACCCGAGUGUCCAAUCACAAACCUAAAUUCCUUUUAACUGGACCAUUUAGUCCAUUUACAUUUAAAGUUAAUAUUGUUAUGUGUGAAUUUGAUCCUGUCAUUAUGAUGUUAGCUGGUUAUUUUGCUCAUUAAUUGAUGCAGUUUCUUCCUAGUCUCG
rnacentral:tRNA from 10 species